AGAAUCAACGCUGGCGGCGUGCCUAACACAUGCAAGUCGAACGAGAAAGUGGAGCAAUCCAUGAGUAAAGUGGCGACCGGGUGAGUAACACGUGACUAACCUACCUUCGAGUGGGGGAUAACCUCGGGAAACCGAGGCUAAUACCGCAUAACAUCGCAAGAUCAAAGCAGCAAUGCGCUGGAAGAGGGGGUCGCGGCUGAUUAGCUAGUUGGCGGGGUAAUGGCCCACCAAGGCGAAGAUCGGUAGCCGGCCUGAGAGGGCGCACGGCCACACUGGAACUGAAACACGGUCCAGACUCCUACGGGAGGCAGCAGUGGGGAAUUUUGCGCAAUGGGGGAAACCCUGACGCAGCAACGCCGCGUGGAGGAUGAAGCCCCUUGGGGUGUAAACUCCUUUCGACCAAGACGAUAAUGACGAUACUGGUGGAAGAAGCACCGGCUAACUCUGUGCCAGCAGCCGC
rnacentral:rRNA from 1 species